GUCCCCGAAACCAUAAAAAGAAAGCAUAAUAAAUCGAACGGGAAUUAUUAUUCAUGUCCUUUUGUUCUUUUUUGUUGAAUGCGCUUUUCUUUUCUUUCGGGCGAUGGAAAGGCCGGAGGAGAGUGAAGCUGUGACGCGACGUCCGCGUUGUUAUUUUUAGUGCACAGUACGUCGCGUCAGUUUCAGUGGUUCGCCGCCGCGCCGUUUCGCUGGGACGGUGAUGGAGUCCGGGCACAGCACACGUGGCGGCUUCGGCGGCCACAUGAGACGUGACGGGAGCUAGACGGCGUGUGUAUGGCUUCCUCGGUGGCCCGGGACACGCUUUGGGUUCGCUCGGAGUAGGGAAAAUCGGGAAUCCGCCGGUGCAGGCAGGAGUCAGGAAACGGUGGCCAGGUGCCGCUGGAGUACGGUGCAGCGCGGCCAGUUUCUGGGUCCGGAUUGGGAGAGCGGCGCGGAAGCAAAAGGGCGAAAGAGUCACCUGGGGGGCGGCGCGUGGGGCCGGGUGACACGUGUGAGGACAGGUCGGAUUUCGGGCACACGGAGAGGCGAAGACGUGGCCGGCGUUGUCUGUGGGAAUCGAGAAACACCGUAUACCGACUCCCAUGACGUACUGCCGACUCAUUCCUCUAGUAUGUGCGGCGAGUUCGUGUGACAUGACAUGAGUCGCAUGAUGCUUCGUCUCGUCUCGUCUCGUCGUAUGCUUGGCGCGGUAGAAGCAGUGCUCGGCUCGUGGGUGUCCACUUAUAUGUAUGCAUGGCAACAUAAUAAGGAGGAAGGAAGUGACGAACAUGGUUGAAUCAUUUCUCAUCAUUUUUGUAACAUGGCAUUCAAGAGCUUGUAACAUGGCAUAUUCAACGUUGACGAUCGUGAUGCGUGUUAUACUAUCGUUGUCGCCGAUAUAAA